rnacentral:misc_RNA from 1 species
AACGCACAUUGCGCCUCCUGGUAUUCCGGGAGGCACGCCUGUUCGAGCGCCAUUACACACUCCAAGCUCUGCUUGAUGUUGGACGAUGCGAGUCGCCUUCUUGGGGGUGACUGCACGUUCGGAACGUGUGGGCGUCCGGUCUGUCGAGAAACCACGAGCGUAGCAAGACUCAGCGCAAGCUGUCAAUUCGCUCGGCUGGGGCUCCAGCGGACGGUCUGCAGAGGGGCACGCAUGAUGCAGCCUUUUCCUCUUUUGAGGGAUGGCGGGUUGUGGGUGUGCCGACGCAUAACAACGAGUUUGGCCUCGGAUCAGGCGGGGAUACCCGCUGAACUUAA